rnacentral:rRNA from 1 species
AUUGAACGCUGGCGGCAGGCCUAACACAUGCAAGUCGAGCGGAGCGGCGGACGGGUGAGUAAUGCCUAGGAAUCUGCCUGGUACUGGUGGAUAACGUCCGGAAAUGGGCGCUAAUACCGCAUACUCUCAGAUGAGCCUAGGUCGGAGUAGCUAGUUGGUGGGGUAAAGGCCUACCAAGGCGACGAUCCGUAACUGGUCUGAGAGGAUGAUCAGUCACACUGGAACUGAGACACGGGCCAGACUCCGACGGGAGGCAGCAGUGGGGAAUAGUGGACAAUGGGCGAAAGCCUGAUCCAGCCAUGCCGCGUGUGUGAAGAAGGUCUUCGGAUUGUAAAGCACUUUAAGUUGGGAGGCGUUACCAACAGAAUAAGCACCGGCUAACUUCGUGCCAGCAGCCGCGGUAAUAC